rnacentral:rRNA from 1 species
AGUGAACGCUGGCGGUAGGCCUAACACAUGCAAGUCGAACGGCAGCACAGUAAGAGCUUGCUCUUACGGGUGGCGAGUGGCGGACGGGUGAGGAAUACAUCGGAAUCUACUUUUUCGUGGGGGAUAACGUAGGGAAACUUACGCUAAUACCGCAUACGACCUACGGGUGAAAGCAGGGGAUCUUCGGACCUUGCGCGAUUGACUGAGCCGAUGUCGGAUUAGCUAGUUGGCGGGGUAAGGGCCCACCAAGGCGACGAUCCGUAGCUGGUCUGAGAGGAUGAUCAGCCACACUGGAACUGAGACACGGUCCAGACGCCUACGAGAGGCAGCAGUGGGGAAUAUUGGACAAUGGGCGCAAGCCUGAUCCAGCCAUACCGCGUGGGUGAAGAAGGCCUUCGGGUUGUAAAGCCCUUUUGUUGGGAAAGAAAAGCAGCAGGUUAAUACCCCGCUGUUCUGACGGUACCCAAAGAAUAAGCACCGGCUAACUUCGUG